rnacentral:lncRNA from 1 species
CAGCCCAAUGAAGCCCGGCCCAGCCGUGAUAACUGAAGUUACUCAUCACAGCUCACAUACUGAAUGCUGCAUCACUCGCGCGCACGGUAUCUUACCCGACAGCCACACAUCUCUCAUAGCAUAUGCAGCUCACAUAAUUUCGCCUGACGCCACCCGCCAGCCAGACUGCUACUACAGUGUCGCGCCGGCCAGCCCUGCCCUACGCCCCUCAACUUGCCCCGCCCUGCCGCCCACUAACUCACACUCACUUCCGCCAACGCCCUCACCCUCUACUCCCCGCAAAUACUACGCCACACCGCCACUACAACCACAAUAUCAAGGUGAGCUGAAUGCGCGCACAGUUAACAGAGACAGCCGCACGGAGGAUUAUACAACAGCCCCCAAUGUUCGCCACUACCAGCCGCCGCGGACCACCAGCCCAAUGAAGCCCAACCCAGCCGUGAUAACUGAAGUAACUCACAGCUCACAUACUGAAUGCUGCAUCACUCGCGCGCACGGUAUCCUACCCGACAGCCACACGACUCUUGCAGCUAACGCGACAACGGCCACCUUGCCAAACAUUAACCACCAAAUAAAAUGGUGCAACCUUUCCAAUACCCAACCGCACGACAACAUCCCGCCUACCACAACCCCUGACUGCCCCGCACCCUUCCAUCCAAUUGCCCACCGACCUGCAGACAUGGACAAUGUCGCCCUCAACACCGAGGUCAACGACACGCACCGCAGCCUCAUUCCUGCUCUCCUCAACUUCCACCUCCAGAUCAAGGACCUGUCGGCAGCGCAGAAGGCGGCCAUCAUGGCCAUGGGAGAGGACCCCACCGACGUGUACACCAUCAGCUACGAGUCCGUCCACGAGAAGCGACUGCUGCACGCGGGCGAGUACUGGGAGCUGGAGGCGAAGAGCCCUGUGCCGUUCCGCGUCACCAUGACGGCACUGCCGCGACAGCUGCCGCCGGGCCUGCUAACGCAGCUCGAGCGGACGCCAUUCUGGCGCCAAAACAAGGUCAACGGCAAGUUCAACGCGACUACCGAGCAGCUGACAGAACUGGCGCUUGUUACCAUCCAGAGCCGGUAUCAGAAGGCCCACAAGCUAAUGUGCGACAAGGCGGAGGAGUACUGCAAGCUCCACAACGUCAAAUUCGACGCCUCGACUGUCGGCCGCUUCCUGCUGGCUGACGCCGACGGCAACGCGGACGACGUGUGCAAGAUCGCGGCCGGGCAGCUGAAGUACUUCUUCUUCGUGAGGCGUGACCCCACACUGCAGUACUGCCCGCUGGCAUCGCUUAUGCCCAGCAGCAAUGGCAGCAGCAGCAGCAGCAGCAGCAGCAGCAGCAGCAGCAGCAUCGGCUCCAACUCUGCCGCUUUCAUCAUCGGAGACCUGGCGGUGGCCCCGGUGGACGACAUCACCCGGAUUGCGACCACCGUGGUGAUGCGGCCGAACAUCUUUGUGGCCAAGUACACCAACAAGCCCAAGGCCCUCACGCUCGGCACCGACACCAUGGACGCCUACAUGCCGCCUGCAAGCGGCCUCUGCCGGCAGCUGGAGCUCCUCUCCGGCGACUGCAUUGUCAACACCAGCGGACCCAACUACGCGCACCCCGAGGCGCCCAUCUACAUACUCGUGUCGGCCGCCACCACGCCGCCCAACGGUGACUCGAUCACGCGCGUCGAGCAGCAGCUCAGCGCGGCGUCCAUGCCCGACACACCGGGCAAACAGCACCCGCAGCGCAUCACCUUUGAUGUGCUGCAGCUGGAGGCCUGGUACCGCAUUGCCUUCUCGCAAGUCAACUGCGUCAUUCAGAAGGCUGGCCCCGCCGCCGUGGCCAUGGACAUCGACGAGGAGGAGGAGGGCGACGGUGAGCGCCUGCAACGUGCCCCCCCUCGGCAGCUGUCCUACACCCAACGUCACCCGCUACCAACAUGCCUUGAUAACCCCAACCUAAUUAAAGCACACACAACAAUCCAACACCACCCUUCCCACCAAUCUGCCCCCCGUAGCCUAACCGCCCAACACGGGCCGAGGAGCUCUACAACCCACACGGCUGCCAGCAACAAGGACAAUGCGGAGCAAACCCGCUGCCGGAAAGAGAGAGAGCAGAGGAUGUGGUAUGAGACUGCCGAUAGAUCUGAGCGGUGCCCGCACAGUGCGGCUACAAUUUUCAGCAACAUGGGCGUAGACGCCGAUGGGUAUCGCUCGCCUGAGAGCCUCGAACUGCAGAGAGAUAGCUUUUCUAAAUGUAUCGGAUUUAAUGUCUGCUGGCGCCAACUGCAGGACAAGAUGGAGGAUGCUAUGGGCCCUAGGAUAGCAGCGAGCAAUAUAGGUGAGGACAUAAGUAGUGGGAGCUAUGCGCACGCGGAGAGUAGCAAGACCGCCGACGCAGCGGUCACCUAUGGUAAAGUGGCAAGAGACGAAGAACUCAGCGCGGGGAACGACGGACCCCCGGAGCGAGACAACGCGGCGCACGCCGAACAAGCAAACUGCAACACACUUGCCUGUACCGUCCUCUGCCACCACAACACCGCCUACAGCCGCGACCCCAGCCACUGGUGCCAGAUAAUGGGACCAUACCCCAUCACACAGCUGCUACUGAACAACGAAACAGAAACGCUCAUAACGACAGCCAGCUAUGUCUCUGCUCACACCGCCAGCACACUUCUCUGGGUCACCGUAGGCAUGUUCCACGGAACCUGUACACUCCUGCGCCACACCGUCGCCUGGCUGCGAAUCCUCCUCGCACACACUAUCCUACUUGGCCACCAGCGCUGGGCAGCUAGGCCUGAGCGGCUGGCAAGUCACGUCGCAGGCAUCACUAUGGAUCCCCACGCUCAUCCUAACUCUCGCCGGCGUUGCGCAACUCAACCACGCAUCACGCAACCUGCUAGCUCACCCCACACCAGCACGGGCGAAAAACCUGAUUUUCACCAUCCCUGCAGCCUUUCUUCUAGCCCAGCCUUUAAUCCUCCUGAUCAUGACAUACCAGCACACCACAACCAUCAUUACGCUACUAGCGACAACGUGCGCGGUAUACAGCAUUAUCAAAACAACGCGCGGCGCGGUACCUGCAAUCCUGGGGCUUCCGCUAUAUGGGCUUGGCCGCGGGAUAAUCCUGAAACCUACCUUCUCUAUAUGCACAUUGACCACUAUCAUCCUGCUCCUCAUGAACCUACAAACCACUGCCCACUCCCCCCAACUAGCACCAGUUACGACCCCGUUGGCCCUGCAACUCCUCCCUCACGUCCCUGGCCCGCCAAGCCUCAACAUCACCACCGUCACCACCACCCUACUCCUAUCCCAAACACACGCACACCCUCACGACGCAACGAUCAACCUUAUCACCAACCUUGCGGCCUACUCGCACAUCAUGAGUAGCAACCCAAUGACUCUACAAAUCGGCACGCAGCCUGGACAACAGCAACCCGAUUUAACGUCACCCUCACAUCCGCUACGAGGCGGAAAUAACACAGAGCGGACCACUACACCAGCAGCCGAAAACGGGCAUAUCCCAGUACCACUAAGCUGGCCCAGACAAAUACCAAGCACAUACUUCCGCGAACAACAACACCUCAAUUUCUGUACGAUACACGCUAUCAAUAACAUGCUGGGAGCACCGUGGCUAAGGGCCCAUGCCGUGCUUGCUUUCUGCCAAGUCGUGCACACUGUGCUGGCCGACACACCCGAACUACAAGCGACCUGGGGCCAUCACUUCAAACACAAUGGGCUUUUCCAUGAAGCCGCCAUCAACCAUUACCUCCGCCACCGCCCAGCGCCAAUCGACACUACGGGAACACGCCUGCUUCUACGCUUAGCCGCCCCUAACCUUGACCCAGGCCACUCUCAGGACACAAUUCUAGGCCUACUCCCAGAAUGCUCCCGGAACAUGGGGUUUAUGGUGCACGAUGGGAGACACGCCUACGCAAUACGCAAGGAAGAAGACAGCUGGUUUCUAGUCGAAUCCUUUGUACACAUUGGGCGUAAACCUAUGACACCGGACCUCUGGCAAGCAGUGAAAGGCGACAUAUUCUGCUUACCCCCCUACCACCUAGACAUGCCGCUUGACCCAAGGACAUACCCAACAAUUCCAAACCUACCGCCGCCGCCGCAACCACCAUCACCGCCGCCCCCGAAUCAAACCAAACCCAAACGAGGCCCCACCCAAAGGGCCCUCUCCACUAUGUUCGCCCGACAGACUACCCAACUACCGACAAACCACAGUGCAGGAGACAACGCAGCCCCCACACCCCACCCAGGCCCCGCCGAAACUACAGUGACUCGCCCCCUUACCCAAGCCACCCUCAAUAUUACCCGAAGGGAGGCGACUGAACCAGCGCGAACGCAAAACGAACGCCCCGCCACCCCCAACAGUGCAGCACGGCCCACCCGCCGCCCACGCCAUGACAACCAGCUCGAACCGGAGCCCACAAGCCCCACACGCGCGAACACCACAACUAGACCGAGGGCCAAUGCGAACAUGCAUGCACCGAACACCAAUCCCACACAACCAACGGCCAAUAAUACAACACAACCAACGUGGGCGCAAGUCGUUGCUAUGCAUGCCGAAGCGGCAGGAAAUGCACUCCGGACAGUUGGCCGGAUCACAACACAAGCACCCCACCAAAGGCCAGAGACCCCGCCAAGCGCCACACGACCCACACAGCGCCCACACGCUGACCCACCCGACAGCCCGACAAUGCACCAAAUAAUAAUAAUAAUAAUAAUAUCUACGCAGGGCACAGGUGCCCGCGUGUCUUAAGGAGGAGUGAGACAAGCUCACCCCACCAUCGGAAAACUUGAUUUCCCUACCCCGGCUCCCCUGUGCGGGGGCCGCCAUUGGCGGUCCCCUGGGUGCGGCCUCCCGGGCGGCAUCGGGUGUUGGCAAUGCCCAUCUCUCGCUCUAGCCGGUAGUACAGGUUUGCGGUGCCCAGGAGUGUGGUGACGCUAUGCAUGUGGAGACGUGUGCAGCAGGCCUUGGCUGCCUGCGGUUUGGCUCCUAGGUCUUUGAGGAGAGUUUCAAGGGUACGGGGGACAGUGCCACCGUGGCCCAGUGUAAUAACGUGUUUAGUAUCGUAGUGCACAGUCCACCCUGCAGCUCGCAUGGCAGUGGCAAGGGUGGCGUGCUGUGCUUGUUUUUGAAUGAGCUUCUCGCUGUGGUGCAGGUCAGAGGUGUAUCCAACUUCAAGGAUGUACACUGGGUAGGCCCCUUUGUUGGCUGGUGGGGAUGUCAUGAAGCGUUCUGCUUCGGACCGGGGAAGGUUCGGGAUAAACAGAAUGUCAGGCCGCAUCCUGUUGAGGUCUGCAGCGGGCACUUGCGGGCAGAGCCAUGACGGCGGCCGCAUGCCCGCACAGUACUCAGGCAGUUCAGCUCGGGAGGUGGCAUCCAUUAUCAUGUAGCCACCACCGUUGUGACCAUGGUGUAGGCAUUCGGCAAUCGUCCGCACUGCAGUGUUGUGUUUGGCUAUCCUAGCGCCAACGAGUUGGGGGUGCGCGCAGUGGCCGGCAAGGUGACCUGCGGUGCCACGCUCUGGGUCAGAUCCGCGGCUGCGCUGGGUGUGGGCACAGAGACCACAUUUGUCGCUGUCUCGUAGUUUAAACAAAGCCAGCCGGGCCGGGCAGAUGAGGCCUCCCUGACGAGCAUUCUGUAUGAACCGGCGUAGGCCGUGGCUGGCGGCCGAGUUCGUCAUGUACGCGUUACUGGCGCGUGGGUCAAGGCUGGGUGCUGCCUCGGCCCAUUUCUCAGUGUACAGGGUUUUGUUGGCGUAUCCACCACGGCAGCUGGGGGCCAUUGCCCUGGUGAGGCCCCGGUUUAGGUCCGACACGUAGUGCGUGGCUGUGCUAUCGUCGUCCCUGGUGACCGUGAAGGUCGGCCACCAGUGCCGGGCGUGCGGGUCGUUGUCGGCCGGUUCGGAUACAUCGGCGGGUUUUUCCUGGGUGGCGACGGCAGCCGCCCCUUUAUCGGCUUCCUCGUUGCCGUGUAGCCCGGUGUGCGAGAUCACUUUAAUCAGGGCGGUGGGUGCGCCCCGGGCGUGGCGUGCAUGGAGCAAUGCCACGACUGAAUCCAGGAGGUCCCGAUGUUUACUCAGAUGCAGUCGCCGAGGCUCGUUAAUUGCUCGUUUGAUUAGGUACAAGCUUGCAACAGAAUCUGAUGCAAUAGUGAGCUUCUUAGUUGCAAAUUCUUUACCUUCGCCACCAAAUUCUGCGAGGGCAGCACGAAUUGCUGCCAAUUCAGCUCUCGUAAUAGUGUUUGUGCACCCAGCGCCAUUUGGAUUCACGUAGACAACGCGAGAAUCGCUGAACCAGGCGCAGGCGCCGGCAACCUGGACUUCUUUGCCAUUGUCAGUUUUGAUUUUGCUUACCGAACCAUCUGUCCAGACAGUGCCAUUCACGUCGUGGGCCAGAGCAUGGUGGGUCUGGAAUUGCGCGUUAGGAAAGCGUCGUGCUUCGUCAGCCAUGGCGUGUAUCGUCUUUGGGUUAGCGUGCUGGUAUUUGGCUUGCUUUAGAAGUGAGUUUGGGAGGGCCGGGCAGGUUGGGGCCGUGGCCGUGUGUGUCCACGUGCGCGGGUCGCUUAUGUGCGUGGGUGCGUUCGCCCCCCGUUUCAGUGUGUCCACGAGCCGUUUCAGGCGGGGGGCAAAGCACUGGAGUCCGGCGGGGUUCCCAACAAUGACCAGUCGGAGCCCCUUCUGGCGUUCAGCCUGGGUGUUGGUGUCAAGUCCUGUGUCAAGGCCCGCGGUGCCCGCGGACCAGUUGGCCAGCUCGCGGCAAAGUGGGUGUUGAAGCCACUGCGUGUGGGGGAAAGUGGCCGCUUUGGGGAGCGCCAAUACAGUAAGGGUUGGUUCCUGUGAGUCACGCAUAGCCUCGGCGCAUGCGAGGGCCCACAUGAGCGCCUUCCGUGCAUCGUGGGGGGUAGAGGGGGGGUGGGCAUAUUGCAAGCCGGUCCAUGCGGUCUGGUAGGCAUCAUGCAGUGCGCCAAAGGCCCCAUCAGCAGGGUCUCGUGUCCAGUAUUCGUGGGCUGCAGUGGAGGAGUUUAGUGGGGACGCAAACAUUUCCCGAAUGUGUACUGCUUGUGUGACCCGCAGGCAUUGGACGAUGGCUGCUACUGUGCCUGCCGGCAGCGACACCUGGUGCAUUGGCAUGGCCUUGCGGUCCUGCUGCGCCGGGUCAUAGCGGUAGCGCAUGAUGAGGGCAGCGACCGCUUCCUCAAAGGCGUUGGGUCGCUGGUUGCCGGUGUGCCUGAAGCGCUCCCACAGGGUAAGGAGGCGGGGGUAGGUGAUGGUGCCCAGCCAGCGGCCACUGGGUUCAUGGACGUGCGCCUCAGCUGGGUCACGGCGGGUGCCACCCGUGGUGGUAAUUGUGUAUGCUCCGGGGGCCACGAUGUCCUUGUAGGGGUUGCACGGGCUUGUGGUGAUGGUGGUGGUCGUGCGGAUGUCACGCGCGCGGGAUGCGGUAUCCAGGGGCUCGGCGUCAUGGUGGCCUUGGCGCUGUCUGGCGGUAAGGUUCCGAUCAGGUGCGGGGCGCACUGUUCUGGGCCGCGGGCCUUGGUUGGUACCGUUGGCUUGCCCCUUCCCCCGAAGGGGGAGGGGCGGAAGCCAUUGCGGUCGCAUCGAGUCCCCAGGCGGGGCCCCCUCGGUUAUUCCAGUUUUAUGUGCAGUUACGUCGGGAAACCCGAACGUAACCAGAGUUCUUGUGCAAAUAAUACGCCUUUCAAUGUGUCUGUAGCAACACAUAACUUUGCGAAAACACGAGGAAGACGUAAGACUAGAGGCAAAGGGAUCGCAGGCGUUGGAGGAUCCCGGCGCUCGAUAGCGCGAUCGGCUUUGUAUUUCCGCGGACGAUAUCCUUCAAAGCAAACAUUCAGACUUGGACGUUUACGAGUGCAGCGCAUGCGAUCUCUCCGAUCAGCGAUAGGAGAAACGCAAUGCAUGUGCUUCAUCGCGAUGCAUAAGCAGAGCUGAGUUUUGUGAUAUCAACAGUGCAUACUAUCGUGGUACGAGGGUUUGUCGAAAACGUGUGCGAACUCUCGGUCCCCUGCCCCCGCAGGCCCCCGCCCUUGCCCCCGCCCGCGCUCUCUUACCUUCGGCAAACGCAACUGUGUUCACCGGCGCCUCCCCGCGCAAAUCCCUCCCCUGAUACCAACCCCGCAACCCCCUCCCACUCCGUUCGCACAACUGCGACUGCGCGGAAUUGGAAGUUGGGAAUGAGCCCAUACCCGACAGCUGGGAUCGGGGGUAAAUUUCCUGUCAUGCUGGCCUGCAAUGGUGCGCAAUGCGACAGGGGGAGGGGGCAAGCCGGGGUACUGCGUAGCGGUAGGGGUUUGCUAGCCGGGUUUUGCACUCCUCCAGUAACUCCUCCCAUUGUGGACUGUGUUUUAGGUCCCGUUCACGGUCCGUGCUCGGCGCCCACGUGACAUGUCGUAGGAGUUUGGUCGUCCAGGACGAGAAUAGGGGGGCCCCAGUGGGCUGCGGUGCUGCCGGCUCUGCAGCUUGGGCAGGCUCUUCAGGUGAGAUUGCGUGGGCUUGGGUUUCAGCCGGAGGCUCAGCCUCGGUCUGCGCAGGUUGUGGGCCUGGGCGUGUCGCAAGAGGGUGCUUGUAACACCUGGCAUUCUGGAUAGUUGCGUAGCCCAUGCGAACAAAAGCAGAGACAAUGCCGGCCGGGCAAAUGGACGGCUUCCACUGCACCUUCCAGUAUUUUUCACGUGUCCCAGAGGUGUCCUCUCUGGCUUUGCGCUUCCGUGUCAGUUCUUUGUCCGUGACAGUUUGUUUGUUUUCGCUGUGCAGGACCUGUGCUAGGUCCUGUCCGUCAUUGUCCAGGUCGUAGGUGAGUUGAGUGUCACCGUUAGUGCGGUUGUCGGCGGGCCGUGGGACUAGAUCGUGUGUGAUCCUGGCGCGGGCCAGUCGCCAGCUGGGACGGGCCCCGUGGCCUCCCGCAGCUUGCGCUGCCGGGGCGGUCAGGGGCGGCGUCGGGCUAUUGGCGUCCAUGGGGUCGUUGUGAGCGGCAGCCUGGUUGACUUCCAUAGGCAAUCCUGUGUUGUUCAGAUACUCGCUUAUGGCGUUGGGUUCGGGGUUGGCGGCAUUCGCCGUGAGGCGGGAUGUGAGGGCGGGUGGUAGCCCACGGCGCUGUUGGCGUGGUUCGACAGCAUGUGCAAGGGAGGGUGGGUCUUGUGGGUGUGGGUGGCAGAUCCGCAUGUGUCCUGUCAUGUCUUUGGCGAGCGCUUGGAAUACCGAGCAUGCCGUUUCGUACCCCCGCGUGCCCACCGGCAGGCUCUCAUCGCCGUUGGUGAGCCGCAGGGCAUGGUUGAUGGCGGCGCGGUCCCCGGUGAGUAAGUCCUCAGGGGUAGUGCGUGUAGUUUCUGCAAUGCGUGCGCGUUGCGCUGCAUGUUUUGUAACGCGCCGUGUGCGUGUUUGGUUCUGUGGCCGGCGUGUUGUAGCCGGCUUGCGGGCUCUGGCCGGUGGCCGUAGGGAGGGUUGCGUUGCCCCAUCAGCGGGGACUUCCGGUGCAGCAGCACCUUGUGCGCCGGGAUGGGCCUGGGCCGCCCCUGCUGGAGAGGGGGGGGCUAGGUCGGCGGGGGCUUGCGUGGUGUUUGCUUGGGCGGGGGGCGCCUCCGGGAGGGGCUGCAGGUACCGGUCGAGGGGGUUGGCCAUUCCGAGAGGGAGGGGGUCCGCCCUCAUGGCUAAGGCCACGAUUGCGGCCACGUCAGGCAGUGCACGCUGUGCGGUGGUCAGGGGGGCAGGGCUGCCGUGGGCUGGAGCGUUUUCCCCUGCACGUGCAGCCAUACUGAGAGCAAGGCUAAGCCUGUUCAGGGCUACCUUGUGCUUGUGCCGGACCCGGCUCGCUCCCAUGUGCUUCUCGAGGUCCGAGCUAGUAAUCAGGUGUUUGCCUGUGUUGCGGUCCACCAGGUGGCUUAGUUCGAGCCUCAGGUCCGCAAGAGGGAGGACGUAUUCAAUGGGGAGAGGUUCGACGCCCCGGGCCUCAGCUUCUGCCUCAAGGGCAGCGGCAAUGGACCAGGUAGGCACAGUAAAGGCAGACCCAUUUUGGUACAGUGUGACACCGUACUCUUUUGCCAGGGUCAUCUGUUUCAGCGUUGUAAGGUGGUGUGACCUAUGGGCUGGGAGAAGGUGGGCCUGUGUGGGGCCAGCUAUGCUUGCCUGGCGCGUCAGAAGGGCUCGGGUUACUAUCCCAAGACGGCCCGAGUCAUUUAGGGCAAGGACCAGGGCUCGCUGGGCCACGCGCGCGUAUUGCGGCAGGAGGGAGCCCAGGCCCAAGCCGUAUUCGUUGGCGGGCAGGAGGGAGGUCCGGGUGGGGAAGCUGCGGGGGAGUCCGUAGCAGCGCUUUGCAUAACCAGCCAGGGUAGUGUCGAGCGUUGUUAUGUCCUGUUUUGUGAAGGGCAUUGCUGCGAAUCCAUAUGCAACUGUGGUGUGCACGCACUGUUGUAUCAUGCGCAGGCGUUGUGCCGGUGUCGCCAGGGAUGUGGCAAUGGCUGUGCCCUUGUCCUUCACAAUCUCGGUGACUCUUGCGACAUGUGCCGACCAGUCCAGCGAGAACGUGAGCUGCACUCCCAGGUACUUGUACGGCUGGGUCGGGGGGAAGUACGGGACAGGGGUCGUGCCAAUCUUAAUUGUGUUGGUCAUGUUGCGGCGCAUGGCGGCAAGGGUAGCUUUUCCUGUGGGCCCAUCAAGGUUGGGGUCCGAGCGAGAUUUGUCGUGCCAGAUGGCGGUGGUGGCACACUUGGUGUGAUUGACACGCAGGCUCGCCCACUCGGCGUAAGAUGCGAUUUUGUCACAUUGAACCUGCAGGUCGUCGAGCGAGUUGGUGAGCGCCGCCAGGUCGUCUGCGUACGCGGCGGCACUGCAAUGGUAUUGCAGGUUUUCGCUGGGGGUCAGGCAGCCGUAGUGGUAGCCCCGUCCGCCCGCAUGGAGCCAGCGGACAAGAGGUUCCAUGAACAGAAUAAAGAGCACAGGUGAGAGUGUAUCCCCUUGCACGGUGCCUCGCUCUAUAGGAAUGGCGGAUGUGCUUCCGUGUUCGGUGCGGAUGCGGGUGGUCGCAUGUGCAUAUAGGUUGCGGACUGCGCGGAUCAGGUCCGUUGGCAGCCCAAGGUCAAACAUAAUUUGUAGUAAUCGGUCCUGGUCGAUUGUGUUAAACGCGGAGCUAUAGUCCACGUAUACCGCAUAGACAUCUUUUCCAAACAGUGCGGCAUCCUCAAGGGCAUGUACUAAAUUUAGGACCUGCCUUUCGGUGUUGCAGUAGGCACGGAAGCCUUCCUGCGCUUCACUGAAUAGCUGGAGGGGGCCAGCCAGUUCGCCAAUGCCCAAGGUAAGCAUGGACGUGUACAGCUUGUAGCAGGUAUUUGCGAGCGCAAUGGGCCGUUUGUUUUUUAUGUCCAGGGCGUCUCCAGGUUUGGGGAGUAGCACGGUCUCCGAUGCGGCCCAGGUUUCAGGUAUUUGUGACUUGACGUACAUGAUUUGCAGGAUACAGUGGAGGUUGCGCUUCAUGCCCGAUGGCAGGAUACGGAGCAGUUCGUUUGGUAUGCCGUCAGGGCCUGUCGCCUUGUUUCUGGAGAGGUGAGAAAUGCACUGCUCAAAAUUUGCCGUGUCUGCCAUGCUGGGGAGCAUGGAGUGUGUGUCAGGGUGCCGGUUGCGGUCCAGUGUGAAUUGAUCUGUUGCGUCGGCUUUCUCAAAUGGGUAGCCGCGUGUGGCGUUGCUGGGUAGUCGGAAGUCCCCAGUGCGGGUGCCGCGUGGUGGGGCGGACAGCUUUCGGAAGUGGGUUUCGAGUAUGGCGAGGAUGCUGGUGGAGUCAGUCGUCACCUCCCCAGUUUCUGGGUUCCGGACCGCUGGGAGACCCCGUUCCAUGUCUUCCUUCUGAAAGAUUCUCUUGUGUCCCUGUGCAGGGCGCGUGGCCAGGGUAUGUUGCAGCGCUGUGGCAGCGGCCUCUCGCUGGGCUUUGGCGCGGUCCGCCACUAGCUGGCGGUGCUCGGCCUGGCAGGCCUUUAUUUCGUUCCGCAGCUUUGCCGCCGCAUUGGCGGCGUCUACCUCAGGUAGGGCCUGGGGCCCUUGCGUGAGGUUUGUCAGUUGUGUCUUCAGGGCCACUUCCUUGUCCCAUAGGGGCUUUAGCACCCGUGCGGUGGAGCGUGAUGCGUGGUGUUUGCCAGUGAAGGGGGUUUUCCGGGUGCACUCUUCAAGGAGGCAUGUUAGCCCGGUGUCCAGUGCGGAGGCAAGUUGUUCUGCAAGUUGGUUGAUAUCGGCCUUCUGGAUGCUCGUGUCCUGCGCCAGGUCUCGGUGCAUGACGCUGGCGGGGUAGCCUGUGGGGUCCAUGCUGUGCCUCGUGAGUGCAUGUUCAAUUGAUUGCGUUGCCUGCCUUGUUGCGGAAUGCAGGUCGGCUGUUGCUUCCACCAAGGCUUCCUCAAGGCGGAUAGCUGCGGCGGCCAGUUGCUUUUGUGUGACGGGCAGUGCGACCUCGGCCCAUCGUUGUUGGGUCUGCUGCUGGGGGGCUGGGUUCCGGGCGCCGGCCUGUGGUGCCGGCCAUAGCUGUAGGUCCGCGGCUAGUAACUCUGCGUGGACUGGUUUGUGGUCAAAGUUGCCUGCAACUGUACUGGUGUAUUCACGCGCUUCUGUGCAUGCAGCACGCGUGGCAGGGCAUAGGAGGAUGUCAUCGAUGCGACUGUGGUAUGGGGCCAUGCCCGGGCGUGUUUGUUCAUAUGACCAUUCGGCAGUGGUAGUGGUGUCUCCGCGGAUAGGGCGCAGGCCACUAUCGGCAAGGAACCGCUGGUGGGCCCGGUCCGCCGUGUCGAUGGGGCUGUCCCGCUCAUGUGCUCGGGCGACGGCAUUAAAGUCUCCCGCGGUGACUAGGUGGUGUCCGCACGCGUCCGCCCGGCCUACCACCUGCUGACAGUAUGUGUAGAUUGCCUUGCGGGUUUGCAUGUCUUCUGGUGCGUAGAUGCCCAGUACAGUGAGAGGCGUGCUCCCGGGGGUCUUAAUUUGAACGUGUGACACAUAGCCAUGGAGUGUUGGUGGGGGCGUGUGGUGUGUGACACAGCCGAGGUCACUGUACCGGGCGGAGAUGGCCACCGCUACGCCAGCGCUACCGCGCGCUGUGGCCGCGCGGGGAGUAGUGCUACAGUAGAGGCGGUAUCCUUCAUUUCGGAAGGCUCGCUUGAUUGAGUCAGUCUUCCCUGUCAGUUUUGUCUCGGUUAGGACAACUAUGUCGGCUUUCCACUGGGCUAGGUUGCAGAGGGUGAAGCUGAGGUUGCCGGGUUGGCCGGUGGACAGAAUUUCUGAGAGCAGUCCCCGUACAUUGUGGGUCACGAUGUGUAGGGUGGUGUUGCUGCUGGGGGGUCUCGUGUUUGUGUGUGCCUGGUUGGGUUCCAUGUGUGCGUGGUUGCGUGCAGUGGGCCGUACUAGCCAGUUAAGGAUAGUUUGUCGGGUGCCUGUCGUGUUGAGUCGGGGUGCUAUGCCGGCAUUUGCAUUGUGUGGCUGCGCGGGUGCGGUAGUGUGGGGUGCUGCAUGCUGUGGCGCCCUGUGUGCUGCCCGCAGCGGUGAGUUGUCUUGGGCAUGUUGAGCUGGCUCUGGUGCCGGCCUUCCUGUGGCGGCGGGCCCUGUCUGCGCGGGUCUGGUGGCCUCCAUGUGGGGUGGCGGGCGUGGUGGCGGGACGAUCUCACGGAGUUGCCCAAGUGCGUCCUGAAGUGUUGCCGUGUCGGAUGCACGCACCGCGUCAAGGCACCAGACCUCCCCAUCAAGUGUAUUCCAAGUGUUGUCGUGUAAGACCGUGUUGUGGAUAGGGCUGUUCACCGAGUCUAUUACUCUCCAUUGUCCUGCUUCGUAACGCACAGCAAUUGUGUGUCGCACAGUGUACUGGUGGACGGUAAAGCCGCGAGUUCGGGCGGCUACCGGAAGGCUCUCUAGGACCUUUUCUUUGCUGAUGUCGCCGUUGAGUCGCGGAAAGUGGGUUCGGCGCAUAAUCAGCUUCCUGUUGGGGUAGGCGAAUAUGUUGCUGAUGGUGGCAUUGUGGUACAGGUAGUGGUUCAGGAGAAAUUCGCUGAAGGCGCCACUGUUGGGGCAGUAGCAUUCUUUCCAGAACAGGGCAUUCGGGUCUUGCGUGGCUGUGAGGUGAGCGUGCACUCGUUUAGCGUAAGAGAGGACAUCCAGGGGGUCGAGCCAUGCGAGCCCCAAAGAGUUGUUGAGGGCGUGGACACUGCAGAAGUGUUGCCGCUGUGUUUCACGGUAUGUGGUGUUGGAGUUUGGCGGCCAGUGCAGUGCGGCUGGUGGUCGGAUGUUCACUGCCGCAUGCGUGCGAGGGUCGGCGGGCGCCGGCGGGGCUGUCGGGUCUGUGGGCAGCGCACCUCGCAGUGUUGGCUUGAUGUAGGGCAUGGUGUGUGUCCGGUUUACUGCAUAUGUAAGCGUGAGGAGAGUGGUUGCCUGGCUAGCAGUAAGUAGGCCGGUGACCAAUGCUGGCCCCCAGAGUGCCGGCUGUGCCGGUUGCACACUGCAAGGGUCCGGCAGUGUGAGGUACAGGUUUCGCAGGAUGAUGGCCAUGGCCGUUCCCCAGAGUAGUAGCUUCCGCCGGGCCCAGGUUGCAGAGGCUAUCUGCCGUGUCACUUGGACCACAUAGUUGAGGAGAGCUGGGAGACAGAGGACGGCAAGGAUGGAUGUCACGUCAGUGCGAACAGGAGACCGAGGGCUGCGGGGAUGGCGGUUAUCCCGAGGGCAAGCGCUAUUACACACAGUGGGGAGAGAGCAAGAGUGGUGAGUGUGGGACCCCAUAGUAGCAGGCUGAGGAUUGCACCGUUUGCAUAGAUUUCCGUGUUGAUGGAGGUAGUGUGGGUUUCGGUGUGCAGGAGGUGGGUCCAGAGCAUAUACAUGGCCCCUGUCGCGGUGAUGAUGGCGAGGCUGACAAUGGCUUUGUCAAGUAUGGUGUGUAGUGCUUUGCCAGUCUGGGCGACUGUCUGGAAGGUGGCGAGUCUAGACAGGGUUGCAAGGUGUGUGCCCACUCUGAUGGCGAUAGCAUGGCUGUGCAUGGCUGCCCGUACAUGCCCUGCUCCAACCCAGUGGAGGUAGACGGCAAGUGCAAGGUGCAGGCGAAGAAGUGGCGAGUUUUCCCAGGAGGCACUACAGUUGUGGGUUGGUUGGGGCCCGUAAGCUGUUUCUGCCAUGGAGUGCAGUGCCGAAGCACCGGAGCGCAGCAUGGUUCCUCCAUGCCGACUGCCCAGGUCGCCCAGCGCAAGCACACUCGUUAACAGGCUCUCUCCAAGCAGCCCGAUUGUCUUACUCGCAUAUGAACGGUACACUCCCUCCGCCGUGCAUAACUUUCUCAUGCCACUCCUGCAUGCCUGUGCUAUUUUCAGAUUUGUAGAAAGGAGUCCCUCCCCUACCGGUUGCAAAGCAGUUAUCAUCACAUUGCGUAUGUUGGUGCAUCCAGGCUUUGGCUUAACCUUUGCGCGCGACAGGAGUCCGCUAGGGCUUCGGUAUUGCCUUCGUUCGGAGCUUGUCGGUUGUGGUUCUGUGAGCAAACUCGCAUUUUCAUAGAGCUGGGAAUUAGCUGUAUAAUACUGGAGGCCAAGAGGCUCGGCUCGACCCCUUUCUGGGACGUCGUUGGCGAGCGGCUCUGAGGCAACUGGUAUGUGCUUGGAGCUUAUAAGCUCCUCAAAAGACGGGUGUUUUGCAGCAGUUGGGCUUUGCGAAGGUCUCUUUGGCGACAUGCCGAAAGGUUCGGCGCCAGCACGCUUGCUAGCUGUGUAGCACGUCGUGUGCAGUAUACUGGUAUCAAAUAUGCCUUUCUGAGAGCAGCGAUCCGACAAGAGCGUCGCGUUCGCGGGGUUCGAGUGUACUGUGAACAUCGAGUGCGCAAAGCUGAAGUUCUCCCUCCACACGCUACCGUGUGCGUGGUUAAUUCCAUGUGUCGCAAUGGGGCCAUCAGUGUGGCUUAGGGCUGGCAGCUGUGCGCCAGUUGCCCGGCUGUUGCAAACAUGCGAACAUCCCCCUUUCGCCGAGCUCUCGGUGCAGGUCGUGAGACCUCUUGCAGACCACUUUUGGAUUGGCAUGGUACGGUCAUGGUUGCCCAAUAGCGCGAAAGCGCUGGAAUGCCGGGGCGGUCCCCGGUCAAACCAGCGGUCGGCCGCGGCAGAGCCAGACGCGUUCCCAGCCGUGGUCGCGUUGGUUGUCAGCAUGCAGAGUGCAAAGCAUAUCAGAACGCAGAUACCUGCGGACUUUCGCUCCACCUUUCGCCGAGCAACCAUUUUCCACAUAUUUCCUAGCGACGAGCUUGCGAGGUUGGUAAGAGGUGUAUUUGUAUGCAUUAUAAAUCAGUUUGAGGAAAUACGUGUCUGCAUUUCCGCCGCCCACGCCAUGACAACCAGCUCGAACCGGAGCCCACAAGCCCCACACGCGCGAACACCACAACUAGACCGAGGGCCAAUGCGAACAUGCAUGCACCGAACACCAAUCCCACACAACCAACGGCCAAUAAUACAACACAACCAACGUGGGCGCAAGUCGUUGCUAUGCAUGCCGAAGCGGCAGGAAAUGCACUCCGGACAGUUGGCCGGAUCACAACACAAGCACCCCACCAAAGGCCAGAGACCCCGCCAAGCGCCACACGACCCACACAGCGCCCACACGCUGACCCACCCGACAGCCCGACAAUGCACCAAACAGUUAAUCCCAACACCCCACGACGCACACCGCCUGGCCCUACACCAGACCCUGGCGCGGGUGCCCAAGACAACACUGACACACGCCCUGACAACACAACUUGGCUACACAUCGUCACACAUAACGUGCGCGGGCUGGGCACAAACCUUCUCUCCACCAUAUGCCACCUACGCGAAUGGAAUGCAGACAUCGUGAUUCUUACCGAAACCAAGCUGGGCCCACGCACGCGCUGGCUAAAGGACACCCUAAGACAAGAAAAGCUAUCAUACCGCACUUUCACGUCCACAAAACCAGGGACUGCACAGUAUAAACGCCGCUCCGCCAGCGUCCUCAUGGCCAUCUCCAAACGCUACCACUCGGGGAGCAACAUUCACACAGCAACAAUCCCACCACACCUCCACGGGUAUAUUACAAAUACUGUGAAGAAACAAUCAACACCGCCAACAAAACGGAGGCACAUGUUAUUAUUGGCGGCGACUUCAAUGCAGUCCUGAAUGAGGGGGACAGAACAGGGCCCCUUGAUGAGGCGGACAAACACCACGCCCGCUUUGUCUCAAAGAACAAACUCAAAAGGCUUCCUGAACUCGGCGGCACAAUAAGCAUGUCCUUCUACCAAACACGAGAUGGGACCCCUCAACCCACCAGUCGUAUAGAUGACAUCUUAAUCUGUCAGAACAUCCACUCGGCCCUCCCCACGGCAAGCAGCACACCGGCAACCCUGCAGGUGCAACCCUGCGGUGGCCUCUUUGACCACUACUCACUCCACGCCCGCGUGCCAACCUUUCCAAUUCGCCUCUGGCCCUCACGCACCGCAACACAAGCAGACACACAACCCCCAGAGACGCCGGGCCCGUGGCGUACUGUGGUGCUACCAAUCCCUAAAUCAACACUUGAAGCCGCGCGAACAAAAAUCGAGCACACGCUAGCCAACCCAAUCGCGACCCUCGCCAGUGCCAUUCAGCCUGCCACAACAGCAAUUCAACAGCAUCUCGCACAACACACGUCUGGUGCCACCAACGCCUCGGAACAGGGGUUCGGGGUGUCCAACUCGGCGGUUAGCUGUCGGUUGCCACCGACAUUUGGUCCCGACCCCCCCUGGAAGUGGGCAGGCUGAGCCCGCAAUGCGCCGGGCGAAUACCUAUGAUACUAUGGACCUAUAAUAGGCAGCGCGGCAUCCCCCAAAGCUGUGGCGAAGUAUCGCGCAUUCUCAAAGCAUCGAGGUUGGCCCAAAGCCCCAAGGGCGCGCGCCGACCGCCCGAUAUCGCCCCAAGACGUUAGCCCGCGGACCCUGAGGCCCGGCGCGAGCGCAUACGGGCCUUCUGCGGGCUGUUUGAGGAUCAUCGGAGCACAAUUGUGACCCUCCAAUCCAAACUAAAGCAAUCUAAGCCCCAACUUUUGCUCAAGGCCUUUUAUGAAGCACACCAUAACCCUUAAGCGUGUUAGGCGUUACGUCUUUGUCCGUCUGAGAGCCCUCGGGCUGAAAGCUCAUCCGCAAGUCACCAGUUCCCGCUACGCAAGAGCCAUUUGCGACAGCGCCAGCCACCAUGUGUCCUAUGCAUGCACACACAUGAUGUUAACCGCGGCAGCUCUCCGCGGGCAAGCUCAUACAAGCGAAGACCACCACCUUGAAACAUGCGAGCAGCGGACUUAAACGCAUACAUCCUUUGAUUGGGUAUCCAAGCGCCCAGAAGUCAACGGGAUGGAUAUAGCCGUAGAGGAAUAACAAUAAAUUAGCAAAACACUGUCUCGCGGCGAAACGUAACUCGUGUCUGGACCAGUCCAAGAGGUUAAUACUCCUGCAAUGACACCAAUCGGGUGUACCUAAUAUUUACUAGCGAUCGCGCCUGAACCGCACAAAGCGCGCGAUUACAUUGCAACAUGAUGAUCAACUGAUUGCAUUGGGGACCGCUCUGCAAGCGCAGUGUUAUUUCUGCGUUUACCUAUGUAUCAAAGUCAAUUAUGAUUGCUAUCAGCGUAAACCAGCGUCACGCCCGGGACCCUCACUGCCGCGCUCACUUUGCGGGCGCUGAAUUUGUAAAUUUAUGAGGUUCCUCUAUGAUAUAUGCCCUUAGCAUGUGACGUGCAAAAUACCGAGGAACAAAAGCCCGUCCAGCGCGUACAAUGUCUGCUCGCAGUAUCGGCCUGCUCCAGUUCCGCGGCGUCGAGCACCCAGGCAGCUGCGCUUCAAAGUAUGAUGGUCAUUAUUCCUUGCAUAGAUAUAAGCGCCAAAGUUAGCUAGGUUUAAGGCCUUGUUGAGCUCUUUGUGCCAAAAUUUGCAAGUCGAGUCCAAGCAUUAUGGCCCGUAUGCGCUCGCGCCGGGCCUCAGGGUCCGCGGGCUAACGUCUUGGGGCGAUAUCGGGCGGUCGGCGCGCGCCCUUGGGGCUUUGGGCCAACCUCGAUGCUUUGAGAAUGCGCGAUACUUCGCCACAGCUUUGGGGGAUGCCGCGCUGCCUAUUAUAGGUCCAUAGUAUCAUAGGUAUUCGCCCGGCGCAUUGCGGGCUCAGCCUACCCACUUCCAGGGGGGGUCGGGACCAAAUGUCGGUGGCAACCGACAGCUAACCGCCAAGUUGGACACCCCGAACCCCUGCCUCGGAACUACAACAUGCCCUUCAGACCGACCCGGCCAUUCAAACACCGGACCUAGACGCCCUGGCUAACCAACUCCUAGAGAUCCUUCAAGACGGGCUUAGUAUCCUAGUCGACAUGUGCCCCAAAAAACCACCCACCCGCGGUGUGUUUGCACCUCGAAAAAUAAAUAAGCGCAUCCGGGAGUCCCACAAUGAGAUAAAACAGCUACGCACACAGUGUGACGCACUACUCCAACAACAGCACCCAUAUGCUAACACCACGACGACGACGGCCCCUAACACUGGACCCCCAUUGCCUGACCCAACGACAGAGCAGGAUGCUGAAAAUCUGCCGCCCCAACAGCCACCCCAGGUGCACGACGCCACCACCACCGCAGAACCACAACGCCGGCCUCAACCUCCCCCCGCCACGCCAGCGAUAGCCAACCUGAUUGACAAAAUAAAGAGAGCCGGAGAUACGCUGUGGCAAAUCCUGAAAAAGCAAACACAGCACGAUAUCCAGAAAGCACGAGAUAGGUUCCAACACAAACUUGCCACGCGCGCCAAACAAGCCCACAAAGACAUAUUUUCCACACAAGAGCAAAGCAGAGGCGUACCCGCGCUAAUACACCCACAAAACAAGGCCCACUGUACGGAUAAAGCCUCCAUCCUUGAUGCAAUCCACGCCUACUUCCAGGGCCAGGGAGCCAGCAUCACAGGACCACGCAGUGGUAAAUAUAAACCCAAAGAUCGAACGCAAGUGUACCCAUUCGACCCCAGCCUCAGGGCCAGCUCCCUGACACGUUCACCCUACACAGCCCCAUUUCACCGCUGGCCCACACGCUGCUCCCUAGCAUUGCUGACAGCGCUAACUUUGACACGUGUAUCGAUCACCUAAGUCGCAACAAAUCCCCCGGGCCAGACGGUAUCCCCAAUGAACUACUCCACGCCCUACCCGCCCCUAUGCACACAACCGUGCACAACCUCCUCAUUCUUAUGUGGGUCCGAGCCCAUACGCCCACCUCCUGGACCGCCAGUGAAACGGUCUUACUCCCCAAACCAGGCGACUCGCUCCUACUAAAGAACUACCGACCCAUCACGCUAGCCAAUACCACGUACAAACUAUGGACCAGCCUUAUCACAGUGGCUAUUUCGGAUAUUUCACAAGACCUAGACAUUUUCAGCGAAACACAAGAGGGGUUCCUUCGCUACAGGAACACCGAGCGGCAAACCCUCAACCUAGUACACGCACUUGAAGACGCUGGGCUCACCAAGCAAGACAUAUACGUGAUGUAUGCGGAUUUCUCCAGUGCCUUCAAUACUAUAUCGCACGACCGCCUCCUGGAAAUCAUGUGGGACCUAGGAAUGCCACACGACCUGAUACGCGUCGUGCAAAACCUAUACUCAACGCCCGCACAUACGUACGGACCGAACAUGGCCUCACGGCCCCAAUAAGUAUAGAACGCGGCACGGUGCAAGGCGACACGCUCUCCCCCGUCCUCUUCUUAAUGUUUAUCGAGCCCCUAAUCCGGUGGCUGCACGUUGGUGGACGCGGCUACUCAUAUGGCUGCUUACCCCCGCACCUGAACGAUCGCUAUAACUGCUCGUCUGCAGCGUACGCCGAUGACCUAGCGGUGCUUACAAACACCUUGAGUGACCUGCGGAUACAAUGCGAUAAAAUCCACCGCUACUCUGAAUGGGCCGGACUGCAGGUCAACCACGCUAAAUGCCGGGUUACCGGCAUCCUCCACCGUAGAGCAGUGCAGGACAAGGGCCUAAACGGGCCUGCGUGCAACCGCACACUGAAAUCGAUGCUUGACAACAAGAUAUCUAUUGGGCACGCUAGCGUACCCUAUCUCCCAGCCACGGAACCGUUUAAAUACCUGGGCAUACAAAUCACCAUGACCCUUAACUGGGGCCCACAAUUUGCCUACCUCUGCAAAACCAUUGCGGAUAAGAGCACAAGCCUCCGCACCAGCCAAGCCUCCCCCGAGCAGUGCCUGCGCAUCAUUAAAUCCUGCAUCCAGUCGGUCGCCACCUACAGUUUCGCGGUGAUGCCCUAUACAGAAAAUGAUAUACGAACGCUAGACAGUAUCAUCGCAAGGCUGGCCAAAUCGUGCUACCGCCUUAGCCGAGGGUUCCCGACACGCGCCACCCUAACACCUGCAGAAAUGUCCGGCCUUGGAGUUGGCUCCCUGCUCCCCCUAUACGUGCAAAAGGCAACCCGCGCCCUAACGCUCGCUCUCAACGACCCAGGUCGUCUGGGCAUGGUCACACAUGCCCUGAUGGAACUACAAACCCGCAUAGCUGGCACCACCGCCAUGCAUAAACUAAGGUACGAGAGCCACUACUACACCACCCUCAAACAGCUCAGUAUCAUGCGCACAUACCACAUCUCCCUUUGGGACCACGGCGCCCCGUACAAAGGCCCACCCAACACGCUGAUGGCCGCAAUCAGCUGCAGCCCGCAACCCAUCCCCCACCACUUAAUCCUCACGCUCACACAAGCAGGCCUGGACCUGCGCAAACUAGUGGGUCUGGAGCGCACGUCUAACGGAAACACCUGCCUCAUCCCCUCUGAUAUGUUAUUCCAACACCUACCCCGCAACCAAUGCCAACACAAACAUCGCGUGGCCUUGAAUCGCCUAAGCCUGUGCCUCAGCGCUGAAUGCGACGCACCCCGCGAACCCCCCUAUAAUCACGCGGAAAGUUACAAAUGCCACCUCCCACUACCACAGCGAUACCGGGCCCUACCCAACACACCUGCCUUCGCCGCACUUAUGCCCAGUAACACCACCCCAAGCCGCCUGACCACCCCAACCCUACUUGAAACCCACCUCCAGCACAUGACCACUAUGCACCCACCAGACACACACACAGAAGCCCAAAAUCCACAACAGCUUCCCACCCUGUCAACACUCUCAAACCACACUCAACCACGUGAUACGGCGGCAGCCAACACUACCACACCCCACAGACACGGUGCCCCAGUUGCACGCCACCAUCACGCAGACAGACACACAACCCACGCCACCACUUGCUCAAGCCAGCCCGACAGCGACCCAGCUAACCCCACAGGCCAUAACACCUAACCACACGGCCCCGAGUCAGACGGCACCUGAGAACGGGCCGCGCAAGAAACAGUGCGCCAACGCUAUCAAAUGACUGCAACAGAAAAUCAACGCAGACCCACGACACGACCCAAGCGAGAAGGGCAGAAGAUAUUACACAGAGCGAUAUGGCUUCGUGCUCGCCAACGAACCUGACGAAAAUGAUACCAGCCCCCCAGACUUCGUCAUGUGGGCGCCCCGGUACUUUUCCAAUGUACAAAAAGACCUACAAGGGCCCAACUGGAUGCCCAAACUCGGCAUCCCCCCCAAUCACACCACCUUCCCGCGCAACCGCGUCCGCACGCCCUUCAACCGCAAAUUACCCGACCACCUCACCAACCCAUACUACCUCAACGACGACGCCGGCGCGCAUAACCCGGUCACAGCCUACCAAGCCACCCACCCACCCCGACAGCCCCCAACGUGUGCAUACGAUACCCCUCCACGAUGGGCCGACCCUGGGGACUUCAUGAUCCUGCCGGAGACUCCCAACUGGCCAGCCAUCAGGGGAGCCCGGCCUGGAGACCAGAAUGACCCUCGCCAAACCGACUCAGACGAGCAAGGGAUGGCCCGAACCGAAUAUAUGGAGGACCGCAAACGAUUUCGAGGACAUGCUGCGGCCCACCCCCCGACGCCACGCCCAUUUAAACGCUGGAUGGGUGUCAGACUCCACCUCAUGACUGGCAACCUACCCUGGCCUACCCACGCAUACUAUGUCAAGAACACAGCUGGCCAGCUAAUUUACUCCCUCUACGAUGAGGUGGAAGAGAUCUCACACAUCCGGGCCGGACCGAUCACCAAGGCGGUUACAGCCCCCAAAAAGGGCGCACACUUACACACUGAACAAUACUACGAAGUCACCUGGAAAGACACCGUCAUUGUUAAAGGAGCCAUCGAAGCCUACGAACAUGCCAGCUAUACUGGCACCGCUGCUCCACACACCAAGUAUGGCACGGUAUGUAAAAAAUACUUUGCCCGUAUGCAAUGGGCCCCCACCAGUGAACCGGCAAAGAAAUGCCCCGAGAUCCAUGGAUGGCCACAAGCCAUCCGCGCCCACCGCCAAAAACUAUCUGCACCCCUUCCGCCUAAGCCGCAACCAGCACCCAAUGACGCCCACCUCACGUCGCCGCAACAGCAGGGCCGCUGGACGAAAGCGGACGUCGAAGCGACCCGCACACGCCGCGACACCCGCCAGAAUACGCGAAUCGACACCAACCCAUGCAACCCAUACCUGGACAUCCGCCCCACUGGCGCGUACACCAUCCAAAUACCCGAUAUCUACAUGGAUACCCCGGCACACGUCUACGGCCCCACUGGACGUCACAUCGCAACAAUUAAUCUAGGCACCCUGCUCACAUUGAAAGCCCGGUAUGAGCACGCCUUAACCACGUACCCGGAGGCAACUCGCCCGCACCGAGCAGAGGGAGGCUUCCCCGAGGACCUAGCAAGGCUUCUAAUACGCACAAAAGUCGACAACAAUGGCAAAACCAGCAAAGAAGCGCCUCCUCGCGAGCGAACUCUGUCCGGACCCCUUAAAACAGCGCUGUUCAGCUGCCUUACCUAGCCCACAUCCCCGCCCAGGCGCCAGCCGCCAGCAUGAUGGAGGGACUUGGAAUGGCGGGCACAGUAGCAGACAGCAAACGCGCCUUACAGCUUAUCCUUGUCGCGAACACCACGGGCGUUCAAGCGCUUAACGCCAACAACAACCUCACCCGCCUUCAGAAAGCACUUGCGGAACUGGGGGCCAUCCCCCCAACAACCCCCAAUACCACCCGCCGCGCCCCGCAGGACUGGCCGACCCGUGUGGCCCUCCCGCGGGACCGCAACCCGCCUAUAACUAGACCUUACAGCCACCGCGCCAAGACCCGCGCCAGACAACUCACUAACCCUGCAUCCCAAACCCCACAUGGACGGAGGACGUGCCCAGCUCCGUGGCCCCUCCUCUCCACCCCAUGUGCUAUGCGUGCCCAAUACCCAGCCACCUCCCCCCUGCUCUACGCACCCGACGAAAUUAUAUGGACUGAUGGCUCGUGCAUUAAGAUGGCUGUCGGUGAAGACGGACAAGAAAUGAACCAGCUUGGCGCCUGCGCCUGGUCGCCGCAGACUGAGCACAUCUAUGUGGAACCAGGUGGCCUUAACAGCACCAACACCAUCCAACGCGCCGAACUAUCGGCAAUCCUGGUUGCGCUUGAACACUGUCGUCCCCGCCUCCCCGCACUGGGCCUGACGAAAGUGACUAUUGCCAGCGACUCCCUAGUGUCCCUCUACCUUAUCCGACGUGCCCUGAACGCACCUCAACGGCUCCUCCUCUCCAAGCACAAGGGCAUACUCGAAAACAUUUUGCACGAACUUCGUAUGUACGCCGAAGAAGGAAUCCCCGUGCAGCUUCUGAAAGUACGCUCCCAUACGGGACUGCAUGGCAACGACGAAGCCGACAAAGGCGCCGCUAAGGUGGCGGAGAGAGACGCAGAGGCCAUGGCGCAGGCAAUAUGCCUGGAACCAGACGAACCCUGGACCAGCAUAUGGUGGCCGAAGCGCAACUCUGACGACUUCUACCUCAGCGACCUGAACCGAGGGGUCCUGUCGUCCCUACCAGCCCACGCGCAACAUGGAUUCACCGCCAACACACCCGUGCAGAAAAAAUGGGCGGCCGCCGCUGCCGACAUGUGCCCAAUUCUCAGCAACCGCACCUUGGCAAGCCCGUCUCGCCACCCCUGGCUAGUCAAACAAAUCCUCUACGCACGAUAUGGAUACCUCUUCAAUGCGCAACUCAAACGCCGAUACCGCCUCGGAGGGAAUGGCAACUGCCCCCUUUGUCACACCCCCGACUCCGGACCCCAUAUUCUUGGUGGGUGCACGCACCCUAAGAUGAAAGGGGCAUACAUCAAUAGACACAAUGCGGCAGUCCAGCUGGUAGCGAAAUGCAUCUCCAAAGGCCUGCACGGCCACGGUUACAUGGUAAUGGACGCCGGCCCACGUGACGAACUACCCCCCUAUGUCUCCGCGCAACGCCCGCCCGCGUGGCUGUUUCCCAGCAACACGCCGCCGUCACUACCUGAGCGACUACGCCCCGACAUCCUCUUCAUCCCCGGGCUGCCUGCCCAGGACGCCAAUCGCGAAGACUACCGCCCACCCCGCAACAAAGACAGACUACCCAUCUACAUCCUCGAAGUCGGAUACUGCUCCGACACACUUGGGGAAAGCCGCUCAUCCGAAUCUGGUCCGAAGUUGGUCCGAAGAUCUGUCCGAAACCUGAUCCGAAGCCUGGUCCGAAAGACCAUCCGAAGCUGGUCCGAGUUCCUGUCCGAAAGACCCCACCCCUGUCCGAAGUUUUUGUCUCCGAAGCUGGUCCGAAGUCGGUCCGAAGUCGGUCCAAAGUCGGUCCGAAUCUGGUCCGAAUAGCAUCCGAAUUACAAGUAUUUCGGACACUUUUGUCGGAUGCCAAGAUUCGGACGCAAUGUUCGGACCAGACCGGCCAUCCGAAUGGCAAUUCGGACACGCCCAGCCCCAUUUCGGACACGCCCAGCUGUUGAUUCGGACGCACCCAGCCCCAUUUCGGACAUGCCCAGGCAUUUGGACACGCCCAACACCAUUUCGGACGCCGCCACCACCCGCUGCUGCCCAGUGCCCCGCCUGCUGCGCUUUUGUGGUGUCUACAGACACCGUUGCAUGUCCUGUCAUGCCCUUGUCAUGUAGCAGCGGCUCCCCUGCCCUUGUUCAACCCUGUACACAUACCCUUUUUGCUUGCUCCUGGGUCCCUUUGGCUACCUCGUCGCGCUCCUCGGCCCCACACAUGCGCCUCCAUGUUUGCGCACAUAUCACCUGCAUACACAGCACCACCGGCGUUGCAAGAGGCAUGGUGACAAGCCUUUCCCCGAGAUACAUGCUGUAUCUCACAUGCUGUAUACAUGCCCUGUCCGUUGAGCUGCCCACUGCACACAUGUCUUGGUGCUCCUUUUCAUGUGGAUUGCAUUACGAAAUCUGACUUACCACCAAAACGCAAAAGCGCCAUUGCCAGCAGCACAUGCACCGAUGCCGAGACGAAGGUUGACAUGAGAAUAAGGCGGCCGGGGAAUUGCAAGCAGAUAUUUGCAUGCAUAAGCAAUUGCAAACUAUCAGGACCCCGUGCGAAAGCGCAGGCAGGGCAGACGAAUGGUUGUUGACCGCGACAGGAAAACACUGCUGUAGACGUUUUGAGCUGAUACAAUGCGAGUUCUCAGUCAGAAACUUACAUUCUUGGGCCUUGAGCCUGUUUGGCCUUGAAUUUUGUGCAGGUCGGCGAAGGUCAGCGACAAAGGCCUCCACUUUGACCAAGUUUGUAGAACCUCCGCCAACGCCUCAGGCAUGCUCGCAAGCUUGUGUCUAACAUAGUUGCUAUGAAAUAGCAUCGUGUAGUAUCAUAGAGGGUUUGAGAACGUGGAACACUGCAUGCCGAUAUCGCUUGCAACGAGAUAGGCUGUAACAGGCUAGCGAUACAUUUAACAACUUGUUAGUAUUAAAUCUGUAGUGUAUAGUAUGAGUCUUAUAAGAGAGUCAUACUAUUAAGUUGAGAAGCUGAAUGUCGGGUCUCCCCAUGCAGCAGCCCUGCCCCAUUGCGCAUGCCAGCUCGCCUCCCUUCUGGUAAUGCCAUUGCUAGGACGCUUAAUCCAAUGUAUGCGGCUGCGUCGGAUGCGGGCAUGGAUGGGAUGCAUGUGCCUGCCGCGCAGAUGGGGCCACACAAGCAGGCCACGCCCAGAAACACACUUCCCUACAGCAUACGCACACAGGACACGCCCCGCUGGGCUGCCAGCUUGAAGACACGCACAGUUGGGCAUCGUGCUGUGUUAGGCCAAGCGAUGGGCGCUGGUUGCGUCGGAUGUGGGCAUGGAUGGGAUGCAUGUGCCUGCCGCGCAGAUGGGGCCACACAAGCAGGCCACGCCCGGAAACACAGUUUCCCACAGCGCACACACACAGAACACACCCUGUUGGGCUGCCCGCGUGGAGACACGCACAGUUGGGCAUUGCGAAGCGUUGAGCCAAGCAUUGGGCGCUGGUUAGCCACUCAUCUACACAUGCUGUUCCAAAGUGUGCCUCCUGGCGUGUUUUUGGGGUCUGGCGUGCGCCCCAGCCCGCCUUCAAGGCUGCAACCAAGUGUAACAGACUGUUUGCGCCCUGACACGCAACCCAGCUGCGCGCCAUUAAAUUUUGAGAGCGUUUGCUGUGAGAAAACGCUGGUCAAAGCAGAUGCACUUUGUGGGGUGGGUGAACGAAACGCGUUGACUCUUAUGUUGAAGAAUAGCCAGCUCGCCCAGCACCUUUACUUUUUUGCAAGCGCCAAGAUCGGCCGAAGGGAUGCAAAGCGCGGGACCGGUUCGCCCCCCAUUGUGCAACCUCUCCAAGGCGCCUAUGCGUGAUGCAUCGUAUUUAAUGGAUAGAUCAGGAUGAUCUGUAUUCUACACGCGCGCACGGUUCCCCUGAAGCGCAGCGAGCGAGCCAAAUGCACCACUAGCAAGCUUGCCCGCGGACGCGACUUACUGUGCAUUGCUGAGAUCUUCGGAUGUAUUGAAUAAGGAUCUAUUCGUAUAACUAAUUAUGUGCGCACAGUGCUCCCUGCUGACUGAUUGACUGACAAUUUCAGACAUCCUUAAUCGCUCAACCUUUGCGGUUUGGCAUUCGUCAUAAUAUAUUUGGAAGCCCUCUAUAUAGCUGGUGUGCUGGCCACGGCCUAAUCGCCCCAAACGUGCCUGACUGACGCGCGCGCCUGACCGCUUCGCCGUCCGUUCGCGCGCGAGCGCCCUCCUGUAUGGGGGGGGGGGCGAGCGCCCCCCGAAACCUCCGUGGCCCCUUCCUUUGGCGUGGGAACACCGCCCGUGCUUAUAUGCUGGUGCCUACACUACCGUGCGAUGCUUGCAUCCCGUGCGGGGGGGAGGGAGUGCCCCUCCCCCCAAUGCCCCCCCCUCCCCAUCGGCGCAAAAUAAACUUCCGCGAAGAUGAGUGGCCAGGGGCUGAGUUGCGUCGGAUGCGGGCAUGGAUGGGAUGCAUGUGCCUGCCGCGCAGAUGGGGCCACACAAGCAGGCCACGCCCAGAAACACACUUCCCCACAGCAUACGCACACAGGACACGCCCCGCUGGGCUGCCAGCUUGAAGACACGCACAGUUGGCCAUCGUGCUGUGUUGGGCCAAGCGAUGGGCGCUGGUUGCGUCGGAUGCGGGCAUGGAUGGGAUGCAUGUGCCUGCCGCGCAGAUGGGGCCACACAAGCAGGCCACGCCCGGAAAAACGGUUUUACACAGCGCACACACACACAGAACACACCCCGUUGGGCUGCCCGCGUGGAGACACACGCAGUUGGGCAUUGCGCUGUGUUGAGUCAAGCAUUGGGUGCUGGUUAUGUUCGAUGCGGGCAUGGGAUGCAUGUGCCUGCCGCGCAGAUGGGGCCACACAAGCAGGCCACGCCCGGAAACACACUUCCCCACAGCGCACGCACACAGAACACACCCCGUUGGGCUGCCCGCGUGGAGACACACGCAGUUGGGCAUUGCGCUGUGUUGAGUCAAGCAUUGGGCGCUGGUUAUGUCCGAUGCGGGCAUGGGAUGCAUGUGCCUGCCGCUCAGAUGGGGCCACACAAGCAGGCCACGCCCGGAAACACAGUUUCCCACAGUGCACGCACACAGAACACACCCUGUUGGGCUGCCCGCGUGGAGACACGCACAGUUGGGCAUUGUGCUGUGUUGAGUCAAGCAUUGGGCGCUGGUUAUGUCCGAUGCGGGCAUGGAUGGGAUGCAUGUGCCUGCCGCUCAGAUGGGGCCACACAAGCAGGCCACGCCCGGAAACACAGUUUUACACAGCGCACACACACACAGAACACACCCCGUUGGGCUGCCCGCGUGGAGACACACGCAGUUGGGCAUUGCGCUGUGUUGAGUCAAGCAUUGGGCGCUGGUUAUGUCCGAUGCGGGCAUGGGAUGCAUGUGCCUGCCGCUCAGAUGGGGCCACACAAGCAGGCCACGCCCGGAAACACAGUUUCCCACAGUGCACGCACACAGAACACACCCUGUUGGGCUGCCCGCGUGGAGACACGCACAGUUGGGCAUUGUGCUGUGUUGAGUCAAGCAUUGGGCGCUGGUUAUGUCCGAUGCGGGCAUGGAUGGGAUGCAUGUGCCUGCCGCUCAGAUGGGGCCACACAAGCAGGCCACGCCCGGAAACACAGGUUUACACAGCGCACACACACACAGAACACACCCCGUUGGGCUGCCCGCGUGGAGACACACGCAGUUGGGCAUUGCGCUGUGUUGGGCCAAGCGAUGGGCGCUGGUUAUGUCCGAUGCGGGCAUGGAUGGGAUGCAUGUGCCUGCCGCGCAGAUGGGGCCACACAAGCAGGCCACGCCCGGAAACACAGUUUCCCACAGUGCACGCACACAGAACACACCCUGUUGGGCUGCCCGCGUGGAGACACGCACAGUUGGGCAUUGUGCUGUGUUGAGUCAAGCAUUGGGCGCUGGUUAUGUCCGAUGCGGGCAUGGAUGGGAUGCAUGUGCCUGCCGCUCAGAUGGGGCCACACAAGCAGGCCACGCCCGGAAACACAGUUUUACACAGCGCACACACACACAGAACACACCCCGUUGGGCUGCCCGCGUGGAGACACACGCAGUUGGGCAUUGCGCUGUGUUGAGUCAAGCAUUGGGCGCUGGUUAUGUCCGAUGCGGGCAUGGGA